rnacentral:lncRNA from 1 species
AAAAAAAAAAAAAAAAGAAAUGCAACUGAAAUAUUUAAAUCUAAAUAUAAAAGCUAUUUUUAAAUGGCUGAAAUUAUUCUCUUCCCCCUUGUUCUCAGAGCUGCAUAUACUUAUAGCAGUUAUUGAAUGAAAACUUAAAAUACAUGGAAUUAAAAAUUAUAUUAUUAACAUAGAAUAUGUGGAAAUAAAUAUAACACUGUGAUUCACAGAACUGGCUGUACUAUCUUAUGAAUCUGCAACAAAUUGUCUGUAUCAAAAUUUCUUAGUCUGUAAGGGACUAAUUGCUUAUAUGUGUCUCUCACGAAGUUUGGAGAUAAUGCUCUCCUCUGAUCACACAGUUGUUACUUACUACCUAUGUGACCUUUGGUAAAGUAUUUCACUUGGGUGUUAAUUUCCUUAUCUGCAAAAUGGGAAUAAUCAUGUAUCUAGUUUUUGUGGUUGUGAAGAGCAAAUGAAUUAUGCAUUUAUAUUAAUAAAAUAUUAAGCACCUGUGUAACACAUGUGAAGUGAAACAUAUGUAUUUAUUUUUAAUGAUAAUAAACAAUUAAUGGCAACUUUGACCAA